GAUUUCUUCAAGAGGUAUCUGUAGGGAUUCUGCCACCUGCCUAACAAGAUCCUGGAACUGCUGAAAGUCACCGUCCAUAGAUGGAGGAGAAGGGAUUACAGCUUCAUUCAGCAAAGAGUAUGAAAUGGGCUGGCGUUCUGGAGCUAGCCAGCGCGAGAAGAGAAGUCACAAGAAUGCAGGAGUCGCUCAUUAAAACAAAGGAUUUGCCUAGGCUUGAAAACAUGCUACUUUGGGGCACACAAUCUUGCCUCAGCCAAUUGGGAUUAAAUAUUUAUACUGUGGUAGCACCAAGGGGUCCAAUCAAAAACAGGCCCUCACUGUGCUAGGUGCUAAUCAAACACACAGUCAGAGACAGUCCCUGCCCAAGGAGAAGAGCUAUCCAUCUGAACAGAAAAGACACAGUACAAGAAGAAACAGAGGCAUAGAGCAGUGAUGUGAUUGCACAAAAUCUCACUACAGGUCAGAGUUGGGAGCAGAAGCCAGGUCUCCUGAGUCCUAGUCCAGUGCCCUGUCCACUGGGCCACUGUUCCUCUUUACUAGGCCAUGGUUAGCAACGUAGCAGUGACAUUAAUAAAUGAAUACAAUGGGCCUGA